AUUGAACGCUGGCGGCAGGCCUAACACAUGCAAGUCGAACGAGUGGCGGACGGGUGAGUAAUGUCUGGGAAACUGCCUGAUGGAGGGGGAUAACUACUGGAAACGGUAGCUAAUACCGCAUACCAUCGGAUGUGCCCAGAUGGGAUUAGCUAGUAGGUGGGGUAAAGGCUCACCUAGGCGACGAUCCCAAGCUGGUCUCAGAGAAUAAACAGCCACACUGGAAUGGAGACACGGUCCUGAAACCCACGGGAGGCAGAAGUGGGGAAUAUUGCACAAUGGGCGAAAGCAUGAUGCAGCAAUGCCGAGUGUAUGAAGAAGGCCAUCGGGUUGUAAAGUACUUUCAGCGGGGAGGCGUUACCCGCAGAAGAAGCACCGGCUAACUCCGUGCCAACAGCCGCGGUAAUAC
rnacentral:rRNA from 1 species